UACGUAGGGGGCAAGCGUUGUCCGGAUUUAUUGGGCGUAAAGAGCGUGUAGGCGGCCUGAAAGGUCAGCUGUGAAAACUCGAGGCUUAACCUCGAGACGUCGGUUGAAACCAUCUGGCUAGAGUCCGGAAGAGGAGUGUGGAAUUCCCGGUGUAGCGGUGAAAUGCGCAGAUAUCAGGAGGAACACCGGUGGCGAAGGCGGGUCUCGGGGCCGAUACUGACGCUGAGGAGCGAAAGCGUGGGGAGCGAACAGG
rnacentral:rRNA from 1 species